AAUCAAAUAUUCAUAAAAUUCAUUAAAUAUUGCAAAAAAAGAUGGAAGUGAAAGAAGAAAAAGAUGAAUUAUUUACCAAUGACUAGAAUUUUUCAAGAGGUGUUGUCUCUACACAUCUUCUCCCUGCAGCUGUACGUUUACCUCUGUUGCUUGAGCUUGGAGAGCUUUUUUGUCCUGAGGUUGCUGUACAGUUACCACUUAGCCCCCCAUCCCUCUAUGUGCUCUAGAUUGAGGGGAUAAAUGGCAGCGUACACUUCCUGUUCCUCAGUUUCCUUUAAACCAUGCUAGUUCUUUGGUCACUGGGAAUUACUUCGUUAGGAGAAUCUCUAGCAAGCCUUUAUGGAUGGUUUCUAUCCAUUUCUACCAAAAAAUGGAUGUCUGAGAGACUCCAGCCAGGCUACUGCCCACUCAGUUAAUUUUGAAACCUUCCUUAAAUAAGCGAAGUUGAAUACCAUUUUUAAAAAAAAAUCCAGGAACCUUUUUCCUUUCCUUUCGUUUGGUAUUCUGUGGGUUCCAGGAUAUGCAGGGUGCAAUAUUCAGUGUUUUAAUUGUCUUAAAUAAUUUGCGGUGUAAUAAUUUGAUCUGCUGUGAUAUAUUCUAGCCCUCUGGUGGUGCGCACUCAAACAUCCAUUCCUAGCUACAUUCUUGGUUCAUGUUCAGACUGGAGCACAAAGGGAGUAGAUCAAGACAAAGGAUCUGCUUCACUGCAUUUCCAGAUAUGUGCAUGAGGAUGCAGACUUAAUGAGGAUCCUUCUGUCUGAACAGCUCAUAUCUUCCUGCCCCUCGGGCAGGGGGCUGGACUCGAUCUUCCGAGGUCCCUUCCAGUCCUAAUGUCUAUGAAGGCUAAUCUUGACUGUUUAAUUUUUGAGUUCUCAGUAUGAGGGUUGAAAAAUUUCCAGAAAUGUUCUUGAAGGGUAUAAACAGAUGUUGUCUUUGGAUGAGAAUCAUCUAUUCUGUAUCAUGUAUCCUGGCACAGCUGAUCUGCUUCAUUGGUGUCUACUGACAUUGCCUUGUAGGGUUGGGUGCCUGAAGCUCCCAGGGCUUUAGGAGCCUAAUCUGGGGUCCCUGGUGCUGUGCCUCAACCUGUGGUACAUGUCUGCAAAGGCAUAAGGACAAUGUUUGUUCGCAGUCAGAGCAUGGGGAAGCCAGGAAGAGGGAAUAUAAACUUCUUAAAUAUUUAUCAUGUGAAAAACUUUCACCAGCUGAAUUAUUCCAUUGAAGUCAAUAGUACUGCUCACGUAGACUCCAAGGACAAAUUAUAGAUUUCAUGUUGAAUAGUCCUUCAAGCAAAGACUUUCUUUUUCCAGGUAGAAAGCUGACAUUAUGAUCAAGGAAGAGUGAAUGAACAAAAAUGCACAUUAAAAGGAAUACCAAAUGGAAAGCACUCCCCCGAGUGGAUACAUGUAUAAAUUGUAAGAAAAUAAUCUCUAAAUGCAGCCCCUGGGACUUGAAUUAUUUACACUCUUUUAAUCCUCUUAACUUCAAAUCAAGAUCAUUCACAUUGCUUUACAGUCAGGCUUUCAAUUGUAUUUUAUGCUCUCAUAUAAUUUCCUUGUCAAUCACUAUAUUGAACAAAUUUGUAAUCCGCUCAUGUUUUCAACAUAGAAUCAUUUGUCUGUUUAUCCUAUAGCCUAACACCUUUCCUCUUCAUCCCUCCUUACUCUUAUCAAAGUCGUAUUUUCAAGUUCUCCGUGCAGACUUCUUACAGUGGAAAAAUGCAUGAACAAAAUUGUCAACAGUCAAUACGAAACCAAAUGCAAUUGCUUCUCUUAUAACCAUUCCUGAUAUGAAAUAACUUUUAAGGUUAUGCCACAUUCUGAAAAGAGGCAAGGAAUUCAAAGUUGGAUUUGAUAGUCUACCUUUUAGAAAAGAAACAUUUCAUAGUUAUAAAUAUGUAUGUGUGUAUUACUUACCUGAUGCACCUGGAAUAGCCCCAGAACUGUUCUUGUUCAUGGGUUAUUAUGUACUGAGGUGUUUCUUUCACUGUUUGGGGAGCUGAAUGUGUAGUUGCUCAGAUAUCACAAUGAGAAUGUUCUCUUGUGGCAGUUUUUACUGAAUAUUAUUUAUAACAAAAAAAAAGACUAGUCUUUGAUUAAGUAUUUAUUGUAACAUUUAAAAAAACAUUAAUCUUACAAUUAUUUGGAUGGUUACAUACACUAUUUUGCAAAUAGACAUGGAAUCACUAUUCACUUAUGCAAAUAUAAUAUUUGCAUUGGUGCAACAUAAUUUUAUGUGGCAUAAACACACAGCAGCUAGUUUUCAGAUGUUUUGUGCUUUCAAAUCAAAAAAGAGCAUGUAAUAAACUUGCAUAUAAUUUUCAGCUGUAGAAGAGAAAAACCCUCUUGAAUGAACACUUACAUAACUCAAAAGGUCUAUAUUUAGCCACUUCUAAGUUGGGUAAGAAUCAUUGCUGCUUGUCUUAGCUCUGAAUAUUAUGUCUUGGGUUACAAAUGCUAUAUUUUAUGUAUAAGCCCUGCAGCAAAUGCUGUUGUUAGGAGCCAAGGAGCUUUUGUGAUUCCCCUUCUGCCGGUACUGAAGGAAAAAACCAAGAGCCAAACCAUUAUGCCACAUAUAAGGUGACAUGCUGAUAAAGAUGGUUUCUUAGGUAACUUGGGUGCAAGGCUUUAUAUCAUCACAUAGUCAAAUUAAUUAAUGGAACAGCAUGUGAUAGGAUUUGAGCAGCAGUAUUUUUAUUACCAGUAUCUGAGCCAGACAUUUACUUAAGCAAAAUAAAACCAAACAACAAGCUGACACCUGCUCGAGUCCCAGGACUCCAGGAGCUGGGGCUUUAAGGCAGUUAAGUACCCAGUGGUGGAAGGAGGUAGCUGGCAGGCACUGGGAGGCCUGGCUCCCCACCCAUGGUGCCUUGGCAGGAUUCAGGCCAC